rnacentral:rRNA from 1 species
GUGGGGAAUCUUGCGCAAUGGGCGAAAGCCUGAUGCAGCCAUGCCGCGUGAAUGAUGAAGGCCCUAGGGUUGUAAAAUUCUUUCACCGGGGACGAUAAUGACGGUACCCGGAGAAGAAGCCCCGGCUAACUUCGUGCCAGCAGCCGCGGUAAUACGAAGGGGGCUAGCGUUGUUCGGAUUUACUGGGCGUAACGCGCACGUAGGCGGAUUUGUCAGUUAGAGGUGAAAUCCUGGGGCUCAACUCCGGAACUGCCUUUAAUACUGCAAGUCUAGAGUACAGGAGAGGUGAGUGGAACUCCUAGUGUAGAGGUGGAAUUCGUAGAUAUUAGGAAGAACACCAGUGGCGAAGGCGGCUCACUGGUCCGGUACUGACGCUGAGGUGCGAAAGCGUGGGGAGCAAACAGGAUUAGAAACCCUUGUAGUCC